rnacentral:rRNA from 1 species
GAGGAAUAUUGGUCAAUGGGCGAGAGCCUGAACCAGCCAAGUAGCGUGCAGGAUGACGGCCCUAUGGGUUGUAAACUGCUUUUGUAUGGGGAUAAAGUCAAUCACGUGUGAUUGUUUGCAGGUACCAUACGAAUAAGGACCGGCUAAUUCCGUGCCAGCAGCCGCGGUAAUACGGAAGGUCCGGGCGUUAUCCGGAUUUAUUGGGUUUAAAGGGAGCGUAGGCUGGAGAUUAAGUGUGUUGUGAAAUGUAGACGCUCAACGUCUGACUUGCAGCGCAUACUGGUUUCCUUGAGUACGCACAACGUUGGCGGAAUUCGUCGUGUAGCGGUGAAAUGCUUAGAUAUGACGAAGAACUCCGAUUACGAAGGCAGCUGACGGGAGCGCAACUGACGCUGAAGCUCGAAGGUGCGGGUAUCGAACAGGAUUAGAUACCCUGGUAGUCCGCACAGUAAACGAUGGAUGCCCGCUGUUGGUACCUGGUAUCAGCGGCUAAGCGAAAGCAUUAAGCAUCCCACCUGGGGAGUACGCCGGCAACGGUG